ensembl:snRNA U6 U6 spliceosomal RNA
AUGCUCGCUUCAGCAGCACACAUACUAAAAACUUGGAAUGAUACAGAGAAGAUUAGCAUGGCCCC